rnacentral:rRNA from 1 species
ACGCAGCGACGCCGCGUGAAGGAUGAAGGCCCUCUGGGUUGUAAACUUCUGUAGAGAGAGAAGAACGUGGCGCUUCAGCGCCAUUGACGGUACCUCUAAAGUAAGGAUCGGCUAACUACGUGCCAGCAGCCGCGGUAAUACGUAGGAUCCGAGCGUUGUCCGGAAUCACUGGGUGUAAAGGGAGCGCAGGCGGGUUUAUAAGUCGAUGGUGAAAUCUUGCAGCUUAACUGCAAAACUGCCGUUGAUACUGUAAAUCUUGAGUGUGGAAGAGGGCGAUGGAAUUCAUGGUGUAGCGGUGAAAUGCGUAGAUAUCAUGAAGAACACCGGUCGCGAAGGCGGUCGCCUGGUCCAUUACUGACGCUCAUGCUCGAAAGCGUGGGGAUCAAACAGGAUUAGAUACCCUGGUAGUCCACGCCUUAAACGAUGAAUACUUGGUGUCGGGCCGCAAGGUUCGGUGCCAAAGCUAACGCAUUAAGUAUUCCACCUGGGAAGUACGAUCGCAAGGUUGAAACUCAAAGGAAUUGACGGGGGCCCGCACAAGCAGUGGAGCAUGUGGUUUAAUUCGAUGCAACGCGAAGAACCUUACCAGGGUUU